rnacentral:rRNA from 1 species
AUGCUCGGCGAGGUCCCAACGGUGAUCGUCUCCGGCGCCGAGGCGGCGGCGCUGGUGAUGAAGACCAAUGACCUUGCCUUUGCUGGCCGGCCUCGCAGCGCGACGCUGGACAUCUUCGGCUGCGGCGAGAGGGGCAUCGUCUUCGCCCCCUACGGUGACCCAUGGCGCCAGAUGCGCAAGGUCUGCACCGUGAAGCUCCUCAGCUCCAAGCAGGUGAGGCGUAUGGACGGUAUCAGGCCAGACCAGCGGGCGGUGUUUGGCGGCAAGUUCCCGCAGCAGGAGGAGUACCUCCGGGAGCUAGAUGAGGCGUUCGUGCUGCUAGGUGGUUUCUGCCUCGUCGACCUCUUCCCAUCAUCGCGGCUGGUGCGGUGGCUGAGCAAGGGAGAGCACCACAUGAGGAGGAGCUAUGGCCACAUCCAACGUAUCAACGCCGAUGUCAUUGAGGGGCGUAAGGCGGCGCGAGCUGCCACACAGGACGGUGCCUCCAGCACCGACGAUGAUGACUUGCUGGACGUGCUACUCAGGCUGCAGGAGAAGGACGCGUUCACAUUCCCUAUGACCACGGAGAGUAUAGGUGCCGUCUUAUUUGACAUAUUUGCAGGUGCCACACAGACCACGGGAGUUGCCUUGGAGUGGGCAAUGGCUGAGCUCGUCCGUCAUCCCGAAGCCAUGGCCAAAGCACAGCUUGAGAUCCGAGAGGUGCUAGGUCAAGGCCGAGCUGUGAUUACUAAUAGUGACCUCGCUGAACUCCACUACAUGCGGAUGAUCAUUAAGGAGGUUCUUAGACUGCAUCCACCAGGUCCUUUGAUCCCCCAUAGGGUCAGGGAAGACUGUAAAGUUAUGGGUUUUGACAUGCUUGAAGGCACCAAUGUAUACAUUAACGCGUUUGCAGUUUCGAGGGAUCCAAAUUGUUGGGAAAGUCCUGAAGAGUUUAAGCCUGAAAGGUUUGAGAACAAUAACAUGGAUUACAAUGGGACAUACUUUGAAUUCACCCCCUUCGGUGCUGGUCGGAGGCAGUGCCCUGGGAUACUUUUCGGCACGUCAACUAUGGAGAUCGCCUUGGAAAAUCUUCUCUACCACUUCGACUGGGUGCUUCCUGGCAAGGCAAGCCCGGAAUUUUUGGACAUGACCGAGAAAUAUGGGAUCAUCGACAUAUUUGCAGGUGCCACACAGACCACGGGAGUUGCCUUGGAGUGGGCAAUGGCUGAGCUCGUCCGUCAUCCCGAAGCCAUGGCCAAAGCACAGCUUGAGAUCCGAGAGGUGCUAGGUCAAGGCCGAGCUGUGAUUACUAAUAGUGACCUCGCUGAACUCCACUACAUGCGGAUGAUCAUUAAGGAGGUUCUUAGACUGCAUCCACCAGGUCCUUUGAUCCCCCAUAGGGUCAGGGAAGACUGUAAAGUUAUGGGUUUUGACAUGCUUGAAGGCACCAAUGUAUACAUUAACGCGUUUGCAGUUUCGAGGGAUCCAAAUUGUUGGGAAAGUCCUGAAGAGUUUAAGCCUGAAAGGUUUGAGAACAAUAACAUGGAUUACAAUGGGACAUACUUUGAAUUCACCCCCUUCGGUGCUGGUCGGAGGCAGUGCCCUGGGAUACUUUUCGGCACGUCAACUAUGGAGAUCGCCUUGGAAAAUCUUCUCUACCACUUCGACUGGGUGCUUCCUGGCAAGGCAAGCCCGGAAUUUUUGGACAUGACCGAGAAAUAUGGGAUCAUCGUAGGAAGAAAAUAUGACCUACAAUUGAUACCUAUUUUCCGUGGAGGUUUCCAUGCCACAUAG